ACUUAUCAAUCAUCGACAUCAACAACGUCACCAUCGGCAACGCAGAGUUGGGACAGGAGGUGGCCGUGGACGUGAGAGUCGAAGUUCUCCGAUCUUUUGGAAGCUAUCCCGUCUUGGAAAUAUACGUCAACACCACAAAAGGAGAGCAACUUCCGUGCUUCUACAGUUAUCUGCCGAAAGAAGCGAGGCUUUGUUACGUCACGACGGCGGUGGAAUUAAAACUGAGUUCAGAGUGGAACAACAGUUGCCCCAUAAGACCAGGUGGAUACACCGCCCACCUUGCAUUCAAGCUUCCUAACGUUCCAUCUGCGGAGUCCUGCAUAGGAGAUGGGGAUUUGGUCUUCACUUUGAAAAUCCGGGACGAAGGUUAUGUUUUGGACUGUGUGACAUUUCCUGUCAAGAUUGAUCGUCGUUGAACACGGCGCCAACUCUUCACAAAUGAUUCGAGCUGUAUUUUGCUACAAUGAAAGCAAUACAGAAGGGAGAAAUAUGAACCUAUAACUGGGAAGUUCUACGUUGGUUACAGCAGUUUCUCUAUAAAAAAAACUAUUGAUUGUAUGCUGUCUUUGUUUCCUUUAGUAGAGUGAGACUGAAAAAAAAAUCAUACAUUU